rnacentral:rRNA from 1 species
UGUGGAAGAGCCUGCGUACGAUUAGCUAGUUGGUGGGGUAACUGCCUACCAAGGCGACGAUCGUUAGCUGGUCUGAGAGGAUGAUCAGCCACACUGGGACUGAGACACGGCCCAGACUCCUACGGGAGGCAGCAGUGGGGAAUAUUGGACAAUGGGCGCAAGCCUGAUCCAGCAAUGCCGCGUGUGUGAAGAAGGUCUUCGGAUUGUAAAGCACUUUCGACGGGGACGAUGAUGACGGUACCCGUAGAAGAAGCCCCGGCUAACUUCGUGCCAGCAGCCGCGGUAAUACGAAGGGGGCUAGCGUUGCUCGGAAUGACUGGGCGUAAAGGGCGCGUAGGCGGAACAUACAGUCAGAUGUGAAAUUCCCGGGCUCAACCUGGGGGCUGCAUUUGAUACGUGUGAUCUAGAGUGAGGAAGAGGGUCGUGGAAUUCCCAGUGUAGAGGUGAAAUUCGUAGAUAUUGGGAAGAACACCGGUGGCGAAGGCGGCGACCUGGUCCUUUACUGACGCUGAGGCGCGAAAGCGUGGGGAGCAAACAGGAUUAGAU